rnacentral:rRNA from 1 species
GACAGAGGGUGCGAACGUUGUUCGGAAUUACUGGGCGUAAAGCGCGUGUAGGCGGCAGCGUAAGUCGGGCGUGAAAUCCCACGGCUCAACCGUGGAAGUGCACUCGAAACUGCGCAGCUAGAGUCCUGGAGAGGAAGGUGGAAUGCUUGGUGUAGAGGUGAAAUUCGUAGAUAUUAGGAAGAACACCGGUGGCGAAGGCGGCCCACUGGUCCGGUACUGACGCUGAGGUGCGAAAGCGUGGGGAGCAAACAGG